ACCCUCCCACUAAUUACAAACACGAAACAGGUGCGCACAAACAGACAUAAACUAACAGACACAUGAAACAUGGAUCGGUGGCAGCUAGUAGGCCGGUGACGACGACCGCAGAGCCCCGCUCGACGGGGGAGCAGCGCCACCUUCUGUGGACGUUGUGACAGUAUCUGUCCAAGUACCAAGUACUGUCCACUCUGGGAUUCCUCGCUACUGGGACAUUCCAGAGGGAAAUGAGUGACAGGUAUAUCACAGCCAUCAUUCAGCCGCAUCCUGCCAUAAGUGAUUCGAGGCGAUUCUACACGUAUUGUCCAUGAGAUUGACAUUAGUUCCCCCAUUUACAGCCGACGAACGCUCUCAUUUAAUUUCCCAGGGGGUCAUAGGUGCAGUUGACUGCGCGCAUAUUGCCUUACGCUCACCGUCUGUAGAUGAACGUGUAGGUGUUAAACGGGAAUAAUUUCCAUUCAUUGAAUGUUCAGAUCUGCGAUGCCUGUAUGCAACUACUCAAUGUGGCCAGGGUCUACGAACAAAUCAUACAUUCUACGCCACAGCUGAGUAGGUCUGCGUCUAGAAGCUGGUGGCUUCUCGUGAGUAAUUGGGUUUUUUCUCCUCCAGUGUAUAAUAGCCUAUUAACCGUGUUAGGGUUGAACUGGCUAUUUGUAUGCAUAACUUAUAUAAUAUACCGGGGAAGCUAUGCUACAAUAUUAAGUAUAUAAACUACGAGUAAAUCAACUUUUGAAGACAAGAAGAACUACAACCGGCAACAGGAAGUGCGUCACGACGCUGGGAUCAGCCUGCACGCCGACGACAGGAGGAGCAAGUUUAAACCACGCUCCUCCUCCCUCGGACAGACCAGCAUUGAGCGGGAAAUAUCUCUGUCAGAGAAUAAAAGAGAGAACAAAGGAGGUGUCGUUCUCUUCUCUGUUUUGCCCUGCGAGGUGACCGGGGCUAUCCACUGAAAACGUGGCUUCUCACUCCCCUUUUCCGAUCCCCAAACAGGAAAUGACGCUACAAUUUGGCUCUCGGCAGAACAAAGGUCGGUUGUGGACUGCUGAACUCCUCUACAAGCCACAGAAGAUAAUUUAAGUUUUGUAUUUUUUAUUAAAUGAAGUUUAGUUUUUUUUUUUAAUUGGUCAACUUGCAAAAUAUACCAACAUUUUAUAUUUAGUAUUGUAUUGAAAUUGCACACCCAAAGGUUCUGGCCAAAAUAGCUGAAAAACAGUUUUUAACUUGUCCCUAUGGUUACUGAAACUGUGAGCAUCAGAGGUGAACCGGUUGCAUACACGGCUCGAGCAAGACCUUCAUCAGCAUUUCUCUGUGUCAGGAAUCCCGCUUCCUGAGUCUGUUUCUGCCUGAGCUGUUUUUUGUUGUUGUUUGGAGUGUUGUCUAAGGUUCCUUGAACGCACCCGGUCUGGUUGCCAGGCAACGAAGUUAGGCGGGAGAUCUAGUAAUUACCCGCACCUGCAUCUCAUCAACCUUCUGCACACCUGGUCUUGAUCAUCACCUCUUCUUAAACCCUGAGCUGACAUCCAUGACCCUGCCGGAUCGUUAGCAACGAACGUGACGUCAUUGGAUCUGCCUAUUCACUCUCAUCAACUCACCUCCGCUGCCGCUCCGUCUCCUGGAUCACUCAAUAUACCCAUCAAGACUACCAAUAAAUACUCACCUUCAUUUUACUCACCUUGUCCUGGUCUGCUUCUGGGUUCUUGUCUUAGAGAAUCGUGACACUCUGACAACUUCUGAUUCCAGGAGGACCGUGAUCUGUUACUAUCGAUAAGGUGUCUGAUUCAUCAUUUUCACCUCCAAUAGAAGUAGAGGGACUUUAGUCAGAGGUUGCUUGUUGUGAGCGCUGAGGGAACUUUAUGCACUUGGCCAGAUAAUUCUGCAUCUUUGUUGCAUACUUCACAUAUGAUUUGGCCCAGUAUUUGCAAAUGUACACAGCUGUAAUGACCGUCGUCGCAAUGAGACCAAGGUGCAGCGGAG
rnacentral:lncRNA from 1 species